rnacentral:tRNA from 1 species
GCUCAGUGGUCUAGUGGUUAAGCGCAGGCACGCGAGACUGAUAUGUCCUGGGUUCGAAUCCCAUUGGGCGU